CCGAUUUUAAUGCAGUAACUAUCAAGUUAAUUGUUAACACUAAGUGACUCCAAUACAGUGUGUUUCAUGUGUGUAAACUUUGGAUACGUACAUAUAUUUGUUAUAUCACUUUUAUGUUGUUAUUUCACGCCACUAGAGGCAUGUAACGUGCAAAAUGACAGGAAGUCACACUGGCGAGGCACACAUCAGUCUCGGCAGGUAAUCUUGGCACUAUCCACUCCCCAUACAACGAUAACUAACCGUUAACGCUCGCACAACCAAGUCGACCGGGCCGGUAGCUGUUGACAAUGCCCAGCCAGCUCUUUCAGAUAAUUAAAUCGAAAAACCACCAGUCAAAGGCCAAGCCAAGCUAGCCCGCCAUGCCCAAGCCGUCGCUAAUGACACCUUGAUGGUUUCAGCUGGUAGCCGCAGACGCAGCACCGGAGCCCAACGACGCAACAACAGCGACUCCCGCUCAGACCUAGUAACGAGGAGCUAACGCUAACGCUAGAGGUAGCAGGAGUUAAAAUUUAACAUCAGAAUUUAUUAAACGAACUACAAGCAACCUGAUAACAUGAACUCAUAAAACAAAAACAUGUCAGUCAGCGUUUCCAAAUGUUGAAACGAAGGAUUACAACACUUUUAUCAACUGUCCCUGAAGUGCACUGAAAGAGACUACGCAAAAUGGAGUUCACCUAUGAAGGACUUCUGGUACAGAAGAAACAAAUUCUUCAGAAGGUGAGCUUCUGCCUUCAGACCAGAGGAAUAUUAUCCCCCACAAAGACAUGUGGAAGUGGUUCAAGGUCUGCAGCAAGCAGCAGUGAGAGGUCUGUCUUCUGGGAGAUGGUGUUUGCCUGCCUGAAGAGCCCUUCCAGAUGGUGAAGCUGUGAGUGUACCUCAAUCACUACUCCUCCCAGAAGCACAAAGCUAGAAGAGGUAUCUGGCAUCCUCGGCAGCCAGGUCUCCGGAGACUGAUGUGUGGUGAGAGGCAGCGAGGACGUUCAGACUGAGAUGGCUUUCAUAAAAAAGACACAUUGACAUGAGCUGUGACGCAACUCCCCCCACCCCCCUGCUACCCACCACUCCCUGGCAAUUGAGUAACCAAGGUUGGAUGAUAUGAAACGAUCACCCAACCCUACACAGGACCUGUGUUUGACCUGUUUUCCAAAACUGAUGCGUGUUGAACCUUUUGCGCCAAACCUGAUGACCUGUGAUACUGACGUUUGCACAAGUUGUGGACACAAGACACAGGUGCUGGUCACUGCAAUCUAACAUGCAAAUUGUGGAAACCAAGAUGCUUCAGCACCUAUUGAGAUGGUACACACAUUUCAACAAGGGAAAAGUUAGAGUGGACUGUGGCAGCUCAGAAGGACACAGCACCAUUGAGUCUUUUUUGACUCAGGACAGAAAUGUGCAGCUGUACAGUUUGAGCAAUCAAAUAACAGAUCCUGCCCUGCACUAACCCUUUUCUCGCCAUCCCCAUCACCUGAUCUUCCUCCACCGUCCUGCACACCGGUUUCUACUUCCCCAAUCUGCCCAGUUGUAUUAUCCCAUUUAUUUUCUGCCUGAUCGUCUUUGGUGCCACAGCCAUUAGAGGUCCAACCAUUUUUUUCUGCCAUGCUGUUAGCCUGCCUUUUAUGACCCUUUGACUGCCUUUUUGGACUUGCUGCCUUGCCUGCUCCCUUUUUGAUUAGUCUGACUGUUGCCUGCUGGAUUUUUGACUUGUACAUGUUUAAAGGUUUGUAGUUGAAAUGGCUUUGGUGUGUCACUGAAAAGUAGUUCACUGAGCCUUUCUUCAACUUGCUUGAUGUCAUCUUCAAUAUCAACUAUCCACCAGUAUUGGAAACAGAGGGAGAAAACAUAAGCAGUCCAAACUGGCCAAGAGUAGGGCUGCACCUAAAGAUUAUUUUCAUUAUGGUUUAAUCUGUCGAUUGAUCAGAUUCAGACGACUUUAUUUAUCCCAGAAGGGAUUAGUUGCUACUUCCCUAAUAUAUCAGAAAAGGGUGAAAAAAGUCAAUCACAAAUAGAAGAAAGGAAAUCAGAAAAUAUUCACAAUUAAGAAUCUGAAACCAGAGGAUUUUGGCAUUAUUCUUAAAGAAUGACUCAAAAUGAUUUAAUUGUUUAUCAAGAUAGUUGGCGAUUAAUUUUCUGCUGAUCAACUAAUCAUUGCAGCUCUAGCCCAGAGUUUGACCAGUGUCCUAGAAAUGUCUCGCUAGUUAUGUUACAGUUUGUUCCCUUAUUAACCUUAUUAAAUUAUAUAUUUUUUAUAUUAUUGUCAACCAUUUUCCAAAAUAGUGAGUUGGUACCAAUAACAUUUACAGUCGGUUGUUUAAUUUUGCUUUUAAUACCACACUGACAUGAAUGGAAAGUAUUGGCUGCUUGUAAGGUAGAAAAUUGAAAAAGAAAGUCUUUAUUUAGAGUCUCAAACAUGCUGAAACUGUUCAUAUAGUUCAGGAAUGGAGAAAAUGAAGUUAAAUGCUCCUCAAUAAUUGUGAAUUCCAUUCCUUUGCAGAGGUGUUAUUCUGGUGACCAGUCAUUCUGAUUACAGCAUAACAGCACUGAUGUUGCCGCUCCCCUCUUCUCCAAACCCACUGUAUCCCCCCCUUGAGGGAAAGAAAAUAUUCAGAGAAAAGAUGAGAAGACAUGGAGCCCAGCAAGAAAUAGCCAAAUGAUAGUGACCCUGCAUGACAAGGGCAAUGUGCCCAGAGGCAAAAUAAACGAAGAGCGCUGCAUCUUCAUGGUGACGUUAUCCCAUAAAUAAUUAAACAGUCCAUUCUUAAGGAAUAAAAGGAGCGUGAAAAUGUAUCAGGGUUUGCACUGAGUCUCUCCCUCAGCCAACAGCUAUAUUCAUCACAGCUUCUAUAAUGUUCUUAAUAAGCAUCACCCAGCAUUUGUUUCAAAAUAAUCAAUGUGAAUAAUCAAUGAGAACGCUUUAAGGAAAAUUCCACUGUCAGAUAUGUUUGUCCUGUUACCAUCAAUCUGUGAUUUGAAUGCAUUCAAGAAGUUAUCUUGUGAUAAAAUGCAAAAUUUACUUUUUGAUUUACCUACAUUUCCUCAACCAUUCUCCUAACAUACUUAUUAAACAUGAUUCUUCAGUGAUUGAAAACUUUUCCGGAUGCAUUCCGACAACCCAGAAAGAGCAAAUAUAAGCAUGAAUUUGCUUAAGGUGAGUUGACUUAAAUAUAGUGUAAAAGCCAUGCAAGGGUACUAUGGAAAAAAAUAACAGUGGCACUGAACAUUCAAAAACAUUAUCAUCAAAGGUAAUUGUUAUUGUCAGUAUUCUAUUUGGCAAGUGGACCGCAGAUACAUUUUAAGAUUACUUAUAGCUUUAUAUCUCUGGCAAGUUGAUUUUCAUAUUGUACUGAAUUGUAAACCAAUUGCUGCCUGUAGCAGAAGAAAAACAAUCAACUUCUAGCAAACAAUAUUGACAAUGUUUGUUAGUACCAUAAUUUCAGGCUUACUUUUACAUGAAUUGUAGGGUGAAAAAUCACCAGUUAACAAUCAUGAAAAAAGAUGAAGCAAAAUUGAUUUUCACUAUGUUUUUGAAAUACACAGAGAACUCAACAUAAUCUUAAAAAACAACUAUUUGUGUGAAAUGUUUAAUUUGUGACUGACAUGAAACUAACCACAAGGCUGUGCAAUUGAAGUUUAGUAGAUACUUUUGAUUUCUACCUGAUGUUCUUCUACCUAGAUGAAUGAGAUGAAUCCACACAGAUAUGAGCUUCUCCAAAUACUGUCUCUGCAUUCAGGAAUCCCUAUCAAAGAAAUAUACAGCCUUCUAUCAAAAUGUUUUCUCAACCUGAUGCUUGACCAGUUUCUGAUUUUUUUUUCCUGUCUUUGGUCCAUCCCUAGUGGCCUGAUUAAAUUACAGCAAACAAAGCUUGUUGUGGAGAAAUCAUUAAA